AGAGAUCGCGCGCUGGGAUUGGUGGGCGGGAGCAGCGCGGGGUUUGCUCGGUUAUGUGAGGGCCGGAGGGGCCGGAGCGAUGGCGGCGGCGUCCGACCAGAAAGACCUGAAAGACCAAGACCGAGACCAGACCGGACCUGAAAGGCCUGUGAUGAACCAGCUGGUGUCCUGGUCCCCUUCCUUCGACAGCCAAGGACAGCAGCGGGGCUGAACGUUUUUAGGUUUUUUGAAAGGACAAAGAGAAAUUAAAAGAAUAUCAAGGGUACAGGGAGCCAGGAAGAAUUGGAGCCCCCCAGGCAGGUGUCUUCCCAAAAUGGACCACCAGCACUGAGGAUCACCGGGACUCUGCCCACCUCGGGUCACUGGGGAUCAUCCAGCGUGGACUGUCCCAUGGGGGAUGGAGCUGGAGCAGUGCACGGAGCUCUUCCCGCACUCAGGGCACUCACAGGGCUGCCCUUAGUGGUGCCUCCAUUGGUGUUGGGUCAAGGCCGAGCUCUAGCAGAAGCUCUUCCCACACUUGGGACACUCAUGGGCUUUGACAUCACAAGGAGCGGAGAUGGAUGUCAGGCACCCACCAAAGCUGCUCUCAUUCCCUUCCAGAGAUGGAGAGAAGAGAGAAAAUAGAAUGAAGUCUUCAUGGGUUGAGUUAAGGACUGGGACAGAUCACUCAGCAAAUGCCAUCAUGGGCAAAACAGUUCAAAAUUAGAGACAUUAAUUGAAUUUAUUACUAUCAUCAGAGCAGGAUAAUAAGAAGUAAAAUAAAGCUUUAGAAACACCUUCUGCCCAUCCCUCCCUCCCUCCCUCCCUCCCAGCUCUGCCUCCUCCCCCAGUGGGUGCAGGCAGACAGGCAAUGGGGAUUCUGCUCAGUUCAUUCCUGUUGUUUCUCCUGCUGCUCAAGGAGAGGAGUCGUUCCCCUGCUGCACCAUGGAGUCCCUCCUGGAGACACUUCUCCAUGAACUUCUCCAAGGUGAGUUCAUCUCAGGGACAGCAGCUCUUCACAAACUGCUGCAGCGUGCCUCACUCUCCCAUGGGCUCACAUGGAAGGACCCUGCUCCAUCAUGGGCUCCUCUCUCCAUGGGUUUGCAGGCCCCUGCCUGGUCCCUGCUCCAGCACAGGCUUCUCAUGGGGUCACAGCCCCUGCUCAGGCACUCCCUGCUCCAGCACGGGCUCCUCCAGGUGCUGCAGGUGCAUCUCUGCUCUCUGUGCCCUCCAUGGGCUGCAGGGGCCCAGCUGCCUCCCCAGGGGCUGCCCCAGGGAACCUCAGGGCAAUCAGCUCCAGCCCCUGGAGCAGCUCCUGCCCCUUGUCCUGCCCUGCCCUGGGGUGUGCAGAGUUGUUCUCUCUCACAUGUUCUCACCCUGGUCACAGCUACAACUACAUGAUAACCAAUUUUCAUAAAUUUCUUAUCCCAAAGGUGUUACCACCAUUUCUAACAGGCCCAACCUUGGCCAGCGGCUGGUCUCUCCUGGAGCCAGCUGGAAUUGCCUCUGUGGGACAUGGAGAAGCAGCUGCUUCCAUCAUCCUCUCACAGAAGGUGCUCCUAGAGCCCCCCCUUACCAAAACCUGGCCAUGCAAUCCUAGUAUAAGUAUGGUUGGGUUUUAUUACCAUUAUUCAUUCUUAUUAUUGCUAUUUUGGCUACUUUUGCUCUUAAUAUUACAGUUACUAGUAUUUUUUAAUCUUUUUGACUAUAUUAAGAGUGUCUUCAGUAGAACUUGAAACAAGAGUUCUUAAUUGCAAGUAGAAGUUGUCAUUUUUCCAGCCUCUUGCCCUGCCCUGUUCUGUGUCAUUGCUGUGUGUGAAGCUGUUGCUGCCAGGGCUUCCCAUUUCCCUGGUUUGGGAAAUUUGAUGCAUUGUUCACAUGUCAGAAAGAGAGGGCUCAUUUCAAUCAAAUGCAUUGCCUGAACUCUACUAGUCCCAGCUGUUGGAACCUUGUUUUGUAAUGUUGUUGACUUUCCCAGUAUCUGUUAAUAUUUGUGAUUUUAUGACAAAAUGUUCUUGGAUGUGAUUUUGCAAAAUUCUGUAGUCAGCUUUCAGUUUGCUCUGGGAUUUCUUAAUGGUGUGUCAGAACUGAAUGCAGCAUUUUGGGUGGUGUGAAAAACAAGUUCACUCUCCUGUGAAAAUUUAAAAAGUGUAAUGAAGGACAAUAGGAGACAGGUACCAUAGAGCAGAGGGUAUUCUGGCCGGGUGCACUUUGGCACUCAGCCUAGACCACCCUGUUAUCUUUGGGGAUACCCCUUAAAUACCUUUUCCAUUACAUCAGCCUGUUGCAUAUUCAUAGAUCCUUAUGCAUAGUUUGGUUUUCCCCCAAACCAGUUUACAUGUUCCAAGAAUUAUUUAGCAUGGCUCCUCCUUGGGUUCACCUUUUUAGAGCAUGCAGAUUCCUUGGUUGUGGAUUUAGUCCUUUUUUAUCACCUCCAGUUUUUGGGUCUUGGUCCACACUGUCUUCAUACGGUGAGUGCUGAUAUUUGACAUACUUGUAUCAAAUCAUGAGGUAUCCUCAUCCUAUGUUCAUUGGAUGUUAUCCCAUCCAAGCAGGCAUUUUAACACAAGCAUGGCUAUUUCACUUCUAUGUCUAAGCUUAAUUAACAACAGAAAGAAAAAAUGUAUAACAAAGUUAGUUUGACAUUACACAUAUAAAAUUCAUUUUUUAUUGGCAAAAGCCAUUAUUAUAAUAUGUAUCUCUAACAGGUGGGAAGCCUUCAUCAGAGCUAGCAUUGUCUCAGCAGCAGCUGGUUUUGCACUUGCAAGCACAGAUAACAAAGAUUCCAUGAGCUGAAUGUUCCGCCUCAUUGCGGAACCUCCAGCGGUGGCUGGAGCCAGCUGCCCUGGGAGAUGCAGGUGGUGCCGGGCGGGCAGUGGCCGGAGCCCAUGGCAGGGGCUGCCCAUGGACACUGACCCUGGGCUGAGCAGGGGCUUGGGGCCCUGCGGCGCCGGGCGCUCAGGGCCCGCUCAUGCUGGGAUCCUGCGGGAGCCGGGAGCAGCGAGAGAGCCUGGGCCAAACAUCAGCACCCGUGAGUCAUGAUUUAAAAAUUUAGGAUUUUAGGUGAGAGUUAGAACCAGUUCAUAUUGAAGUUAGAUAAACCAUCGAUAGGUUAAUGAUUAUUAGAUGCUUAAGCUAAAGCUAAUUGUGGUAUUAUGAGCUCAUUUGUUGAAGGAAGUGGAGCAAGUGAACCAUUAUAGGAACAUAUUGAAACCAGUAGAACAAUGACCAGCACCUGGACUUUGUGUCAAUCCAUCAGGAAGUAGGGGGCCUUGGAUUGUGCCAGAGGGUCACAGAGAGACCUGACCAAGACCUUCCUGUCUUCUUCCCUGGGACCACUGACCCAAUUCAAGACCACCAACCCAAUUCAAGAGAAGAAAUGUGCACUUAUGAAGGACUAAUGACCUCAUUUUAGUACAAAGUGUUAUAAAUGAGAAGCUUGACUAGGUCAAUAUUCAAGUAG